AAUCCCUCCAAAAUUAAGCCCUGAUUGCAUAAACACAAAGUCCUGCACAAAACACACCAUAUUCGAUGAUGAAACUUCAUUCAACACAAAAUCACAGUUCAUUUUCUGCGAUCCUUCCUUUAAGCUUGCUCUUCUCCCCUCUCUCUGAUUCGAGUUGAAAAUAGGGCAAAACUCGCGUUGAAAAUGUGACUUCUCCGUCGCUUCUUCUUUGUCGCCGCUCGCUUGCACGAGCUCCCUCCGUCACUGCUCGCUUGCACGAGCUCCCUCCGCCGCCGCUCGCUCGCAUGAGCUCCCUCCUCUGCUGCUCGCGUUACACGAGCUCCCUCUGCCGCCUCUCAGCUUAUGUCUCUCUCUGUCUCGCGCCAUCCAUCCUCGCCGUUCACAGCCUCGUCGAGUCAUCGUGUCACCAGAUCUAAAACCUACAUAUUUUUGUUCUUGAAUCCUCUUCAAGGUUCGAAUUUGGUUUUGAAAGUAGCUCCAUUAAUUGUUAUGGCUAAAAGUUUGCGUUGAAGAUAAUCUAUUGUGCCUUUUAGAGUCCUGCUUCUGAGAUAGGUUGGGACUCCAAUUUGUAUUCCUUCUAGAGACUUCAUUGACAUUGGCCGCAUUGCCUCCAUUGAAAAUAACCACACGCCAGUUGAUUAUGCAAAGAAAGGGCUGAAAGGAGCUAUUAAGAAUGUUGAAGUAUUCAUGGACGCAUUUAGAGCAGUAAUUGAAGAGAGGUAACGCGUCUAUUAUUUUGUGGAACUUCAGGAAUGAUUUGACCUCGAAUGCCUUUUGUAUUAAUUCAAACCUUGCAAUGUGGUUUGAUCUUGAAUAUUUAUGCUUUCACCCUGAAUAUGAAUAUUUUAGGCUUAUUUAGAUUAUAUCUGAGUGUAAGAGCAUUUGGUGCAACAGUAAGAUUUCUACCUCAUGACAUGAUGACUGAGUUGAAUGUUGACUAAUAUUGCUAUAUAUAUGUAUACAUGUAGGGAUUAACAAAGACACUAGACUUUAUAAUUGACACAGCAUUGGUGAUCAUCCUUUUGAUCCUUACAUAGCACUUCUGAAAACAUUUGGUAUCCUAGUAGUAGUUGGGGCUGCAAAUGAAAUCAAGUUCAGCCCUGCAAGCCUAUUCUUCAGUAUUACAUAUAUCUGCGCAUAUUGUUCAUUGUUUCAAUUUUUCUGGUUUGGUGCAGGAUUAAAAACAAAUGUCAUGUUUUCUUGUCCCAGUAUCUUCUUUUCUCAAUUUGGCUACGCAGUUAGGUUAGAUGAAUGUCGCUGUGCACACCAAGUGUUCGAUGGUUUGCUUAUUUGUUGGUUUGAGCUAACAUGCACAUCUAGAGAUUCAAAAGAAUACUGAAUCUCGGUUAUCCAAACACUUUCAUACUGUAUUAUCUUUUGCUUUACAUGAAGUAGUGAAGAACACCUGUGUCUCUGUGGAUAAGUUUUUUGUUAUGAUUAAGGACCUUGAUAUAUCAAGGAGGAAAGCAGAUCUUGAAGGCCACACAACAAGAGCAGAUGGUCUGAGAAAACCUUUGAUGGACAUAAUUUUAGAUCAACUAGCUUACAGCAUAGAUACCAUCUGCUCCUCUCACCCUUUUUGCAAAUAGCUACCUUCAGUGAACCAAAAAGUAAACUGGAAAUAGUUGUGCAUUACCUGUGGAAAUACAUGACUAAGCCUUCUGUUCACACUCGAAAGUCAAAUGGCUGUCCUGAGGAUGCAACAUUUGAAGUGGCUUUGAAAUGCUUCUCAAAUAAAACUGGCACUAAAAGCACUAUUAAAAAAAUUGGUCCAGAUGUAAUGCAGUUCCUUGUUGGUCACAGGUAUUCCUUUUUUGUUAUUUUAGUUGGAAGGUGGUUCUGUAAUAGAAGUAAUGGUUUGAUUCCUGUUAUUUAAAAGCUUUACUAUCUUCCUAACCCUCAUACAUGGAUUGUAAGCAUUUUGCAUAAUGUGAUUGGUGAAUUUGGUUAUAACGAGAGAAAUUUUUCGGGGUUAUUGGUUCA